rnacentral:lncRNA from 1 species
UGGGCCAUAACAACCAGUUGGCCAAUCAACACAGGGCAAACCCUCCAAGCCUGGAGGCACCAAUCCUGAGCUUGUGCGUACCCCUAGACACUCCCCUUAUGCUGCCCUAUAAGAUCUCUAUGCAGAUGCUUCAAGCGGUCUUUGCUAGCCAUCCGCCAUGGCGGGUGGAUGAAAGACCCGAGCUAACAUGGGGUUAGCUCGUUAAACUACAAUAAAGCCUCGUGCAGUUUGCAGCAAGCUCUUGAAUCUGCCUGAUGAUUGGGGUGACCGCGGUCCUGGGCUGAGAUCCCGGAGGCAUGAGCUUUAUUGGGGGGGGGGGUCUUAUAGUGGAAUAUUGGCUUUGGGGGCUAAGAACUUUUAGAAUACAUGAAACGGCAUGCAUUUCAUAUUCUGGCCAUGCGGGUUUUGUCUCUGAGAUUCUGCUCUCCCUUUCUUUCGUUGUUGUGACAGGAGGAGGGCUCCCAUACACCAAGACCACGACAUCUUGCUUUCCUCCUGAGCUGCCCAAUGGAUAACAUUUAGUUUAAUGUAACUCACAACAAACAACCCGUGGCUGGUGCAUGCGUGCGGACUCCCUCCUGUGGUAUGAAGCACAAGUGUGUCCCCGUGAUAUAUAAUACAAAGCUCUGCUAUCAAAACCAGCUCCAGGUUAUAAGCAGAUGGACCAACUACGGAGGGUGAUCCACAGCCAGCUAAUACACAAAGUGAGAGGCCCUGAGACACACAACUCUUAACAAGCUGUCUCCAUCAAAUCCCUCCCUUCAGAACUCAGGGAACCCCUCAGAAGGGGAGACAGACAGUGAGGAUGGAAGACACCAGGAGAACAAGGACCUCUAAAACAUCAGAGCAAAGCUCAUAUGAACUCACAGAGACUGAAGCAGCAAUCAUGGGAUCUACACAGGUCUGCACCAGGUCCUCUGCAUAUAUAUUCAUCAGUUUAGUACUUUAUUCUCUUGGAGCGCUUUUAUUUUUCUGUUAGCUUGUCUUAUCCAACUUUUAUACGAUGUUUUUUUUUUUGUUUUAUCUUACUGUAUUUUAUUUUGUUGAAAUACUUUAAAAAAAUGUGUUUAAGCUACAUUUAGAAUUCAGGAAAAGUAAUCUCACAGCUUACUUGCCCUCGUUUUUUUGAUUCAACUAAGCUUUUAAGCUGAAUAAAUUAAAGUCUCUAAGGAAAAAAUAAAGUUUCUAAGAAAGAA